rnacentral:rRNA from 1 species
CGGUAGAUGCCUUGGCAUUCAGAGGCGAUGAAGGACGUGUUAAUCUGCGAUAAGCUUCGGGGAGCUGGUAAAUAAGCUUUGAUCCGGAGAUUUCCGAAUGGGGGAACCCACCUAACACAAGUUAGGUACUCACUCGACAUAGAGUGUAGAGCGAACGAGGGGAACUGAAACAUCUAAGUACCCUUAGGAAGAGAAAUCAAUUGAGAUUCCCAUAGUAGUGGCGAGCGAAGUGGGAAGAGCCUGGUGUGAUUUAGCUGUAAUUAUAGUAGAACAAGUUGGGAAGCUUGACGAUAGAGGGUGAUAGUCCCGUAUACGAAAUAAUUACAGUGGAACUAAGCAUGCGAACAAGUAGGACGGGGCACGUGAAACCUUGUCUGAAUAUGGGGGGACCAUCCUCCAAGGCUAAAUACUCCUGAAUGACCGAUAGUGAACUAGUACCGUGAGGGAAAGGUGAAAAGAACCCUUAUAAAGGGAGUGAAAUAGAAUCUGAAACCGCUUGCAUACAAGCAGUAGGAGCAUUAUUUAGUAAUGUGACUGCGUACCUUUUGUAUAAUGGGUCAGCGAGUUACUUUUAGUGGCGAGGAUAACUGAAUAAGGGAUCCGUAGCGAAAGCGAGUUUUAAUAGGGCGAUAAGUCGCUAGGAGUAGACCCGAAACCGGCGCGAUCUAUCCAUGGCCAGGUUGAAGGUUGGGUAAUACCAACUGGAGGACCGAACCCAAUACUGUUGCAAAAGUAUGGGAUGAGCUGUGGAUCGGAGUGAAGGCUAAUCAAGCACGGAGAUAGCUGGUUCUCCUCGAAAACUAUUUAGGUAGUGCCUCGUGUAUAACUCAUUGGGGUAAAGCACUGUUUCGACAAUGGGGGUUUUACGACCUUACUGACUCGAUGCAAACUCAGAAUACGAUGAAGUUCAAUCACGGGAGACACACUGCGGGUGCUAAGGUCCGUAGUGGAAAGGGAAACAGCCCAGACCGCCAACUAAGGUCCCCAAGUCAUAGCUAAGUGGGAAACGAAGUGGGAAGGCCCAGACAGCCAGGAGGUUGGCUUAGAAGCAGCCACCCUUUAAAGAAAGCGUAAUAGCUCACUGGUCGAGUCGGCCUGCACGUAAGAUUUAACGGGGCUAAGCUAUGCACCGAAGUUGUGGAAUAUAUUUAGUAUAUUGGUAGGGGAGCGUUCUGUAAGCCGAUGAAGGUGUGUUGAGAAGCAUGCUGGAGGUAUCAGAAGUGCGAAUGCUGACAUGAGUAACGUAAAAUAAGUGAGAUUCUUAUUGGCCGAAAACCCAAGGAUUCCUACGCAAUGUUAAUCAACGUAGGGUAAGCCGGCCCCUAAGGCGUAGCUGAAGAGUGAAGUCGAUGGGAAACAGGUUAAUAUUCCUGUGCCGCUUAUAUGAACGAAGGAGGGACGGAGAAGGUUAGGUAGGCCUGGCGGAUGGUUGUCCAGGUGAAAGUAUGUAGGUAGAGGUGCUAGGCAAAUCCGGCAUCUUGUUGAUCUGAGAUACGAGACGAAGUCAAACAAGUUUGACAAAGCUAUUGAUACCAUGCUUCCAGGAAAAGCUUCUAAGUAUAUUAUAUAAGCGACCGUACUGUAAACCGACACUGGUGGGUAGGUAGAGAAUACUAAGGCUAUGAGAUAACUCUGGUGAAGGAACUAGGCAAAAUGACACCGUAACUUUGGAAGAAGGUGUGCCAUUGAUGGUGAUGAGACUUGCUCUCUGAGCUGUUGGGGGUUGCAAAUACCAGGUGGCUGCGACUGUUUAUCAAAAACACAGCACUCUGCUAAAUCGUAAGAUGAAGUAUAGGGUGUGACGCCUGCCCGGUGCUGGAAGGUUAAUUGAAGGGGUUAGCGCAAGCGAAGCUCUGGAUCGAAGCCCCAGUAAACGGCGGCCGUAACUAUAACGGUCCUAAGGUAGCGAAAUUCCUUGUCGGGUAAGUUCCGACCUGCACGAAUGGCGUAACGACGGCCACACUGUCUCCACCAGAG